GAUGAACGCUGGCGGUGUGCCUAAUACAUGCAAGUCGAGCGAACAGACGAGGAGCUUACUCCUCUGACGUUAGCGGCGGACGGGUGAGUAACACGUGGAUAAGCUACCUCUAAGACUGGGAGAACUUCGGGAAACCGGAGCUAAUACCGCAUAAUAUGACGAACCGCAGGGUUCAACAGUGAAAGACGGUCUUGCUGUCACUUAUAGAUGGAGCCGCGUCGCAUUAGCUAGUUGGUAAGGUACCGGCUUACCAAGGCAACGAUGCGUAGCCGACCUGAGAGGGUGAUCGGCCACACUGGAACUGAGACACGGUCCAGACUCCUACGGGAGGCAGCAGUAGGGAAUAUUCCGCAAUGGGCGAAAGCCUGACGGAGCAACGCCGCGUGAGUGAAGAAGGUCUUCGGAUCGUAAAACUCUGUUAUUAGGGAAGAACAACUGUGUAAGUAACUCUGCACGUCUUGACGGUACCUAAUCAGAAAGCCACGGCUAACUACGUG
rnacentral:rRNA from 1 species